rnacentral:lncRNA from 1 species
UAACAGUAAAAUAUUUACUAUAGAAGUUUGAAUUUCAAAUUUAAAUGCAUGCUGUGUAUAUAUCAUAUUUAGAUCUUUGUGUAGGGUUUAUAUAUGUUAAUUAAUUAGAUUAAUUAAUAAUUUCUACUGUAAAAUAGUAAUUUUGAAAAAAAAUUUAAAAUUACCAUUUUAUCCCUACACUCAAAUUUUACUUCACCAUCUGCUUCAAACUUCUCUCACGCG